UACGGCAUAGUGCAGUGGUUAAGAUGCCCGGCUACUAGCCGCAUGAUUCAGGUUCGGUUCCUGAUGCCGUAG
rnacentral:tRNA from 1 species